AUUUUUAGAUAAUAAUUAUAAUGGAGUACAAAAAAUCCAAAAUUCUACCUCGUCUUCUUCAGCAUUUUUGCUCUGUUUUUUUUUUUCGAAACAUUUCCGCUCUUUUCAUCUUCUUUACAGCAAUGGUCUCCUCAAUCGGUUCUGUGAAAAUAAUAAAAAAAAUUGUGUAAUAAAUUUUGAAUAAUGAACGUAAUUUCUCAAUUCAAAAUCAAACGCAUUUUGCCUCAGCUUCUUCAGAUGAGAAUUUUUUUUUUCGUGCUGUUCUCAUCGCGUUUCUUGGUAUUUUUUUCUACUCAGCUCACCUUCUUUAUUUGUUUUUUUUUAGGCAGAGGUUCUUCGGCUUCGGAGCUACCAAGUCUUUUUUGUUAGGAUCGGAACAUAAAUCUCGAACUUGUUUAAAAAGGUACCAUAGCCGUUCAAGAGACAACCCUUCCGGUUGCAACUUUUGGAUGCCGGAUAAGGGAGGAAUUUCAGUCGUCACUAAAUCAAAGCUCACUUCUUCAGUGUCUUGAAAUUCUUUAUACGUGUUGCCAUCUACCGUGAAUAGGAAAUGGUGAUUUUUCGUAAUACCUGAGAACAUAACACAACAAAAUUGAAAUCAACUUUCAGUAUGAAGCAAAAAAAAAAUUGAGUUCAGGUUUCAGUAACCUUUUAGAGGUUUGUUGAAUGAAGCGAAGUCCGUAGCAAAAACGUAGAAAGGAACAUCUUUACAAUCAACAGCAAGAUUGUGACCACUUUGAGUUGACUUGAUCACAGAUUCACGAAAAUCAUCAAAACAAUCGACAUUAUGACGACAGUAGUUCAUUUUGAGCAAUCCAAACGUUCUAUCAGGCGAAAAUUUGGUGUGACUCGUUACCAAAAAGUGGAAUUCGAUUCUUUCGUUCAGACCCAAGCGGACACGAUUUGCCAAGUGAUUUAUAACUGAGGGACUCAGAAUGCAAGGGGUGUAAGUGACUUGAUCGAUUUCUCUUCAUCAACUUUUUGUUUAGUAAAUAACUCAGCUGCAAAAACGUUCCAAUUUAAGUUUGCUAUAGAAUCUGAUAGAUGAACUUCUGACUAAUCUUCCACAUUGUCAAAUACAGCUGGGAAUGUAUUUGCAGCUAAGUUAUGACCAAAAGAGAGAGUCGAUGUAGAGAAAUCGAUCAAAUCCCUUACCCCCCUUUCAUUCUAAGCCCCUCAACUGUGUUGUUCUUAUUUUGACCUACACAUCCAGUUUCCUAUAUUUUCGAGCGGUUAUAGGUACAAUGUGGACCGAGUGAAGUGAAGUGCUACAAAAGUGCUGGAAUCGUACCCCGCCUUGCCUCCCACAGGCAGCACUGUUCACAGUUUCAGCUAUAAUCACAAUAAAACUACACGAAAUCGUCAUCACUGCAGCACUGCAGAGUUUUUUUCCCUCGUUGAACUGUCACAACACAACAUAACGGUUGCAUUGAACAAAUCACCGGAUAACACAGCAGAUAAUUCUAACAGAGUAUUUUACAUUCAUGAAAGCUCCAUUUCAGCAGCACUCAGUCAACACAGGUUAAAUAGUAUUUGUGUAAUUCGUAUUGACAUCCAUCGUCCCAACAUAAGCGAAAUUCAUAAUAAAUACAGAUAUUUCCUCAUAUUGUCAAUCAUCACCCCAGCAUCAGCAGAAUUGAUAGUAAAUACUGGCAUUUCAUUAUAUUACCUUCCAUCCUCCCAUCAUCAGCAGGAGUCAUAAUUUAUACUGGACUGCUAUCCAUAGUCUUAGCAUCAGCAAAAUCAUAGUGAAUACAGGGGAGUAUUAUGUUUUUUUUUCAAAAUUUAAUUAUUAAACAAAUUAUAUUUACUUUUUACUAAUUUAUUUUUGCAUACAUUUACUAACAUUUUUCAUAACAUUCUUUCACAAUCACAACAGUUUAUACAUCAAAUACCUGAAGAAGCUGUUCGUAUACUAGAUGACAAUAAUCAACCACAGAAGAUAAUGGUCGAUUCAGACUAGGAAAACAUUGAGUGUCUAGAAUUGAUCAUUUGACGUAAUGAGUAGAUACGUCGUCGAUGGAAGCCAUCAGCUCAUAUUGCUUUGAAUAGAACUUGCAUAGAUGAAGUUCAUCAUCGAUCGGAAUCGUUAGGAGAGGAGAGGGAUUAUUAUAACGAUUCAGUAAUUUCAGACAGAGACCAUAGAAAAAUUUAAAUAAUGAUACUAAUUAAUCAUCACUUUACUUAAUCCCAUUUAUUUCGAUUCAUUAAAAUUUUUAAUUUCAAUUACGAAAACAAUAUGAAAAA